AAAUACGUAAAGGAAUUACUGAUUUUCCAACCAUAUGUCUAUUAUCUGUAAUUUUAAGCCUACACACAUGCUCUGCUAAUGAGCUUACACAGCUUUCAUCGUUCUUUCAAAGAAGUAGUAAAAAAAAUCAGCUGUCUGGGAGUAAUGGUGAUACAUUUCUAAGGAAAUCUGGGGGAGGCCAAUGAGAAGCCGUGAUAAUGCUGGUAGCAGAGGUAUUUUCCAGAAUUGCAUGUUACAAUCUUUAUUAUAGAACAAAAAAUUAUGUCUUAGAUGCUUGAUUAAAAGGUACUUAGGAGUAUGAGGCAAUGAUAAAGGAAAGAGUCUGCAAGGGAAGACUGAAUGUGUGAUGUGCAGACCGUCAUUACAGGAUUUUUUUUUCCUACAGACCAUCUGUGCUAUAAGAAGGUUUGUAUCCUCAAGACAGCCAUAAUUCACACUAGUGUCAUGAUACAAGCUACAACCAACAAUACUAGAAAGGUUAUGUCAGCAUCCAUGUCACAUGAAGAAAUGCAUUGAAAGACUACUGACAGACCUGGAGGAUUACAAUCAGGAUCCCUGAUCCCAGCCCUUCCUGGAUCAAAAAGCUGGAUCAAAAAGCUUCCCAAUCUCCCAAAUCAUGCACCAAAGGUUUUACAGUUCUUGAAGUGAAGUGGAAGUCUUUGCACCUGUCAAGACCUGUGUUAGCUGAUGAAAUCACCCAGCACACCAAGGCCAGGAGCGGCACUCCCUGCCCUGCCAAUGCCAGCUGCUGUAGCCAAGGAAACUCAGCUCAGGCCCUCAGGGACUGAACUCAGCAUUUGGCAGGGAACAGAGGAGGAUUUGAAUUUUGCUAUAAAAGGUGGUUUGUAUUUUAGUCUAGACAUGCUUCUAUUCAUGCUUUAGGAUAUUAAAGAAAUUCUGGUGUUAUUUGUAUUCCAUGUCAUUUAAUUUUAAAAUUUCACUAGGGUAGUGCUACAGAUAUAAAAUAUUAUUGCUUUCAAGAAGGACAAGCAAGUUUCUCUCUAUGCACUAAAAGCCUGAUAUGGCAGUUUUGACAUCCUGGAGAAGACAAGAAAGGUAAACUAACCCUUAAAACUCACUCAGAUCUAUUCUUAGCUCUAGACAUUUGUUAGCACCUGAAAGUAUCCCAGACAUUCUUUUAGUUUAUUAGAUUUCACUUCAAGGCAGGCCAAAUGUCAAAAAGGGUUUUUAAUCCCCUAAAUAUGUUGCUUGCAAGUAUUUCACAGAUACCAGAGCUUGCUCCUGAUGGUGAUUGUUCCAAAAGUUCUGCUUUACACAAAUUAAAGUCAGGGUUUUCAUGCACCUGUUCAUGUGGAGAUGUCAUAGAUCUUGGGAUAUUAGAUUUUCCAGAAAUGAUAAAUAUCUGAGGAGUGCUUAGUAUUGGAAAAACAAAUAAAUUUCUGAAGUGUCUGUGAAGACUGCCCUAUGUCCCCAGUUUAGAAGACAUUUUUAAUCAAAUUGUAACUCAAAGUUCAAAUUGUAACUCACUUUACUGAUGAAAGUGUUUCUUUACUGAUUUUAAGUGCAUAUAUUUUGUUGUGUAUUUCAGCUUGCCUUGGAACAGAUGAUUCUUAGCUGAAUUUUUUUAAGUGCUACUCGUUAAAGAGCUCUGGUAUAAUGGUUUGGAGUGGGCUUUUUUUUUUUUUCACAAAUCAAUAAAACUACUUGGAAAGAUAAGCAUCAUUCCUCCCUUUUGAGUUCUGAAAAACAAAGAUACUGCUGAAAAGUAAAGUAACUUCCAAGUCAUGGAUGGUAUCAGUCACAAACCCUGAUUCUCAACUUUUAUUGUUGAUAAUGAAAGUACUAGUUAUGGUAAAAUAUAACUAUGGUAAAAAUCCAGUUUAAGUGGCUCAGUUCACCCUAGUCAAACCAGCAUGUAUUUUCAGCAAUUAGAGUGACUGCAGGAAUGCAACAGGUUAACCUGAAUGUUACUUCAAAACAAAAAUCCCAGUGGAAAUGCAAUUGAGCCUGCACAUAACAAAACGAAGCUAGGUAGUACAAGGUAACAUUGAAACAUUUUGAAGAAAAAUUCAGGGCAUUCCUUCCUUCUAGGAGUCAUCACCAAUACCAAGAAAUAAAUGGAAGCUGAUUUCAGCUACAGGCUGACAAGCAUCCAUGUCAGGGUUCACAUCAUGAAGUUCACUGCUCAGGUACAGUUCAAAGCCUAAUUAAGCUUUCAAAAUCUUCUUGUUAGGAAAAAUUUAAUUGUCAUAGAAUGUGUUGGCUUCCUGACUGGAGUGGAAAAUGAAAGCCCCGAUGAGUCAGUAUGGGGAGAGAGAGGAAGGCUCCUUUGCACCACUCCUAUCGCUGUGACUCAGAACUGUGCUUUGAAUUUGUCAGCUCCAGGAAGGAUGAGGUAGUGCAGUCUCCCUGUUCAUUUAAUUGAAAGUCUGUGAAAAGUCACAGGGUGAGAGUCUAAACCCCUCCUGUCUGCUAAGAAACAGUGGGACAUUUCCAGUUCAUUUCACUCAGGGCAAGGAAGAGACACCAGGAGCUUAAGACUUCUGGUUGUUACUAACACACACAGAGAACCCCGUGUUCCCUUUGUAAAAACUCAGAGCAAUGUGAGCAUCAGUAUUAAAUGUUCUUCAGGAUCUUCUAGAUUAUGUAACACAAAGUGCAAACUGGCUUCAAGUAGGCUGGUCCCAAAGCUAGAGUGUUGGAAAGAAGAGCUCAUGGAGUAAUUUAUGUUGGAAGGAACCUCUGGAGUCAUCUGGUCCAAAUGCUUUGCCCUAAGUCAGCUCCAUUUCCUAAAUUAGAUCAGGUUGCUCAGGGUGGAAUAUCUGCAGUUGCUCACCACAGAGUAAUCCCAUAAUGGGAAAGGGUGCAGAGAUCCCCUUGGGCUGGCAGAGAUUUUUAUCAUCCAUUUCAAAUGUGAUGGAGAAGAGUGCUACUCCUUAAUUAUGAACAUGUGUUUCAUGAAGGAAGACUUGCUGGAGUUACAAAUGUCAUAGGGAGAAUUAUUAUCUGUUUUGAUACAAAAUAAAUGUAAACUUUUGAUGCAGUAACAGAUUACCACGUAUAUAACACUGUUUUUGGAAGCUUAAUCUUAUUCCAAGGAAAGAGGCACAAAUUUGGCUGAAAAAUUAAUAAAAUUUCAUUAAUACUCUGAUUUGAAAUAAUAAGACAUAACUUUAAAAACUCAAAUUAACACAUAUAUUCCAAAGCACUUUAAAGCAUUAAGGCUGAAAGUAUUAAUAUAAUCUAAGAAGGCCAAAUCCUUGAAUAAGCACAGACCUGUUUUUUCCUGACACUAUCAACACUUGAGUUCCUUGUCUCUUGCUUUACUUGGCUCUUUCUUCUAUUUUUCAUCACUAGUGCUGAGUGUUUAUCACUUUACAAUGCUACAGUACUGCAGAGAUUGCAGAAGAAUAUUUGAAUCUAACAAGGCAUGUAUGCUUGGAAUUUAAAAAGAAUACUAAUAUAGAGAUAUUUUAGCUCAUCAUGUCUUAGAAAAGAUUUUCUUAAUUCUCAUUGAAGGCAUUUUGCUUUAGCAUAAAAUAUAGAUUCUUUCUAUAGUUAUCUUCCAUAUGCAGCCACCUUUAGUUAUUUCACAAAUAAGCAUUUAUGUGCUGUUACUAUAAAUGCCAUUCAGAAAGCCAACAAGUCAGCAAGUAGAGGAAGUGCUCUGAUUGGACAGGAAAUAUGGAAAUGAGGUUUUACUAAUGAUGUAAGCUUACUAGAGAUAGCUGCAACUACUUGCAAACUGCUGAAUUAAAAAAACCCAAAACAACGAAACCAACAAAAACCUAAACCAAAUAAACCAAAAAACCCAACUGAAAACGAGCCAAGACAGCAGCUGUUAUCGCAGUUUUUCCAUUUCCAGGAAAUGUUAUCAAUAUCAGAUGUAAUCCUUUCUAAGCCCAGAUUUUGGGGUAUUUUGCUGUUUGUUUUUUUGUAAUAGAAGAAGGAAAAAGAAAUCACAGGUUUUGUAACAAAAUUUAUUAGCAAACAUAUGAAUGUGGUAAAAAAUUAAGAGAAUAAUUUUUCCUUUUUUUAAGUACUUAAACUUAUCCAAUUAAUUUAGACUUUGAAGUUUGCCUAUGUUAGUGCUACAGAUCAAUAUCAAACAAAGUAGAGCUAAAUAAUCUUAGAUAAAUAGUAUGCUCAACAGGGGAAUGGAAUUUGGAGGCUGGCAUCUAAUUGGCCUUGGAACAACGUUUACUAUUGCAAAACAAUAUAUUAGUCACAAAUCAUGCUUAACAUGCAACAAGACUUGCACCACUUAUGUGAAUCUGAUGUUCUGCCAGUUGUUUUAGAUGUAUAUAAGCUAGUACAAUGUAAAUAAUAUUUUUUUAGUUGGAAAUCAUGUUUGUGUGUGCGAAAUUUGCAUAGCUUUGCUGGACUGAUGUGAAAUAUGUUUGUUCAUCCCAUUAAUUUCUCAUCCAAAUAUAGCAUCGUUAAUGCAAAAGGAAUUAAAACCAUGAAAAAAACAAAUCUUUGCAUGUGUGUGGAAUAAACAUUAUCUACUUUUUAAUGUAAUUCAAAGUGACAAACCUGAAAGUCCUCAAGUGCUUCAAAGAUCACUGAUUUCAAUAUGAAACACAAUCCUAAACCAGCCAAUUUUUGACAUUGAGUUACAUACAUAUUUAAACCUAAGAUGCUUAGCAAUCCGUCCUCCUUCCACCAAUGGAAGUUUUUUAUUAAUGCAACCAAAAUGCUUUUAAGGGGGAACCCUAUGUUUUUCUUCACAAGUAAGAAGCUCAGUAAUCCAAUACUUUGUGUUCAUAACUGCUGCUAUGUUUGUACAUCUGCCAUGUACUAAGGGAAUUGGUUGUGUCUAAUUUUGCUGUUCAAAGCCAUUACCAUCUAAAGGGUCUAUUUGGUCUCCCUUGCCCAUCAAAAAUUGCAUGGAGAACUAAAUGGCUUCCAUGACUGCUUUCCUAACUUUGUGACAGAAGGGUGAACCCUUUGAGGGAAGUUUCACCUCAACAUGAGGAAAAAAUUAGAACUCCUUUCCCUUGAGGGUUGCAGAGCACUGGAACAGAGGCUGCCACAGGUGGCCACAGAGUCUCCCUGUCUGGAGACAUCCCAAACCCACCUGGACACGUUCCUGGGUCACCUGCUCUGGGUGACCCUGCCUUGGCAGGUGGGGUUGGAUUAUGUGGUCUCCUUUCCAACCAUACCUACUCUGUGAUUCUGUGGAAUACAACCAUAUAAAAAUAGGUCAAUGCAUUAAAAAUUUCUCAUCAAAAUUAUGGGAGCAAGAGGUUAGAUAUGCCUAUAGGUUGCUGAAUAUGCCUAAAGCUGCCAGUUUUCUAGUUUCACUGUUCCCUAAUUAAGCUAAACAAGCAAGAGCCUGAAGUCAACAGAGGGUGUUUUAGCAGUGACUUGAGAAAGGACAAGGAGAUGAAAGCUAUGAAUGACUCUGUGGAUUUGCCAAGAUUUCUUUCAUCGCGGUUGGACAAGGACAGAAUUUAUGCAGUUUAAGGGACAGCUAGCACUGAAACUGGAAUGUGCUAUCUUAUCCUCAAGCCAGAUGUAAAGGAACACCCUGCUCCACAGGUAUCAGUACUAUAAGGAUUAGGAUAUCUCCUUUUGGUGUGUCUUUAUACAUAAAUAUAUUUAUAUAAAUGUAAAUGAAUUGGGUAAUCUGAUUACUGUUCCUUUGUUUUUGCAGUUGAAUUAAUGAAUAUUAUAGAUUAAAAAAAAAAGCCUUCCCUUUAUGUGGAUUUGCUUUCUUUUUAUGAAGGACAUAAAAAUAAAUACUUAUCAAAAGCUAGUUAACAGCUAUUCAUUUUACAUUAGGAAAAGCAUAGAUUUGAAUUCAUAACAACUUUUCAAGCAAACACAAAAAAAGACAGUUUUUAUACAACUAAAAUGUAUUAUAAUGUGUAGUCUUACAGGAAUGCAAAACAGAUAAAAAGAGAAAGGAAAUUGUGUCCCUUAGGUGUGGUAUUUCUGCAGAUUCACAGCUUUUGAAUUGGACCACAGACUGCUGUUUCAUCUCCUAUGUUGUUUAAUGCUAAUGGCUGCAGUGAGUUUACAGGUGUCUGACCCAACUCUGCAGCUUCAGUGCUGAACUGGUACCAUGGAAGCACUACCUCAAGAUUAAGAGAAAAUUCUGCAUCAGAAAAAUAUCCCUGCACAUUUUUGGACAACAGCAGCUAGAGCAGAAUGAUGAUUUUGAAGGAAAUGAUGAUGUUAUUUUAAGGGAAAAUAAUAACAUACAUUAAUCUCAAUAAAAUCAUGUGAAGAAAAUUCAUGGGUCACCAAGAAA